rnacentral:lncRNA from 10 species
AUCACAUAAGAGAAGUAGGUCAAUGGCUUACAACUGCUGGCCAGUGAUUAUUCUUUCACGAGUGCCCGGGGGGAAAACAAAACAAACAAAAACAGGCAAAAGCUACAGGCACAUGAAAGACCUCCACUGAUAGUACUGUGGAAUAUUGGGUUGGACGGAUUUAAAGUAGAACGUGGGAGACCAGACAGAAGUCUACAGCAAAAGGCCAGGCAAAAACUUGAUGAGAGCCUAGAAUACAGAAGUGGCAAAAAAGAAAACUUCAAAUGUCACAGUACAAAUCCUAUUGUUCACUAUCCUGGGUCCCAUCCCAGGCAACGUGCAUACUAUAUAUAUUCCCAGCUUCUGGACACAGAACACAGUGAUCCCUCAAUUAGUGGAUACUUGUGAUAUGAAAGAACUGAGGAUUUGGGAGGAAUGCAGAGGAGUAACAUUGGUCACUGGCAGAAACAGAAGAGGAGGGAGCAGGAAGGGAGCAGAAAGGAGGAACUGAGAAAA